GACGCCAUGGCUUAGUUGGUUAAAGCGCCUGUCUAGUAAACAGGAGAUCCUGAGGUCGAAUCUCAGUGGUGCCU
rnacentral:tRNA from 1 species